rnacentral:rRNA from 1 species
CUCAACCUGGGAACGGCAUCCGGAACUGUCAGGCUAGAGUGCAGGAGAGGAAGGUAGAAUUCCCGGUGUAGCGGUGAAAUGCGUAGAGAUCGGGAGGAAUACCAGUGGCGAAGGCGGCCUUCUGGACUGACACUGACGCUGAGGUGCGAAAGCGUGGGUAGCAAACAGGAUUAGAUACCCUGGUAGUCCACGCCGUAAACGAUGUCGACUAGCCGUUGGGGUCCUCGAGACCUUUGUGGCGCAGUUAACGCGAUAAGUCGACCGCCUGGGGAGUACGGCCGCAAGGUUAAAACUCAAAUGAAUUGACGGGGGCCCGCACAAGCGGUGGAGCAUGUGGUUCAAUUCGACGCAACGCGAAGAACCUUACCUGGGUUUGAACCGCCGAGGACCGGUGCAGAGAUGUGCCUUUCCUUCGGGACCU